rnacentral:rRNA from 1 species
UACGGAAGGGGCAAGCGUUGUUCGGAAUCAUUGGGCGUAAAGGGCGCGUAGGCGGUCUCGUAUGUCUGCUGUGAAAGCACACGGCUUAACCGUGAAGAGUCGGUGGAAACUGCGAGACUUGAGGCUGGGAGGGGCUGGUGGAAUUCCCCGUGUAGCGGUGAAAUGCGUAGAUACGGGGGAGAACACUCGUGGCGAAGGCGGCCAGCUGGACCAGUACUGACGCUGAGGCGCGACAGCGUGGGGAGCAAACAGG